AUCCGGUUAACGAGUCCCAAAUAGAACGAAAUGCGCAUCCUGAAU
rnacentral:hammerhead_ribozyme from 1 species